rnacentral:rRNA from 1 species
CGAUAUACAGUCAGCGGCCAAGCGAAAGUAUUAAGUGAUGCACCUGGGGAGUACGCCGGCAACGGUGAAACUCAAAGGAAUUGACGGGGCCCGCACAAGCGGUGGAGCAUGUGGUUUAAUUCGAUGAUACGCGAGGAACCUUACCAGGGCUUAAAUGUAGUUUGACCGGUCUGGAAACAGACUUUCUCUUCGGAGCAGAUUACAAGGUGCUGCAUGGUUGUCGUCAGCUCGUGCCGUGAGGUGUUAGGUUAAGUCCUGCAACGAGCGCAACCCCUAUUCUUAGUUGCCAGCGGUUCGGCCGGGGACUCUAAGAAGACUGCCAGCGCAAGCUGAGAGGAAGGUGGGGAUGACGUCAAAUCAUCACGGCCCUUACGUCCUGGGCUACACACGUGCUACAAUGGUAGAGACAGAGGGCAGCCACCUGGUGACAGGGAGCGAAUCCUUAAACUCUAUCUCAGUUCGGAUCGAAGUCUGCAACUCGACUUCGUGAAGCUGGAAUCGCUAGUAAUCGCGCAUCAGCCAUGGCGCGGUGAAUACGUUCCCGGGCCUUGUACACACCGCCCGUCAAGCCAUGGAAGCUGGGGGUACCUGAAGUCGGUACCCGUAAGGAGCUGCCUAGGUAAAACUAGUAACUAGGGCUAAGUCGUAACAAGUAGCCAAGGCGAAUUCCAGCACACU